rnacentral:rRNA from 1 species
AUUGAACGCUGGCGGCAGGCCUAACACAUGCAAGUCGGGCGGAUGAAGGGAGCUUGCUCCUGGAUUCAGCGGCGGACGGGUGAGUAAUGCCUAGGAAUCUGCCUGGUAGUGGGGGAUAACGUCCGGAAACGGGCGCUAUACCGCAUACGUCCUGAGGGAGAAAGCGGGGGAUCUUCGGACCUCACGCUAUCAGAUGAGCCUAGGUCGGAUUAGCUAGUUGGUGGGGUAAAGGCCUACCAAGGCGACGAUCCGUAACUGGUCUGAGAGGAUGAUCAGUCACACUGGAACUGAGACACGGUCCAGACUCCUACGGGAGGCAGCAGUGGGGAAUAUUGGACAAUGGGCGAAAGCCUGAUCCAGCCAUGCCGCGUGUGUGAAGAAGGUCUUCGGAUUGUAAAGCACUUUAAGUUGGGAGGAAGGGCAGUAAGUUAAUACCUUGCUGUUUUGACGUUACCAACAGAAUAAGCACCGGCUAACUUCGUG